UACGUAGGGUGCGAGCGUUGUCCGGAAUUACUGGGCGUAAAGAGCUUGUAGGUGGUUUGUCGCGUUGUUCGUGAAAUCUCACGGCUUAACUGUGAGCGUGCGGGCGAUACGGGCAGACUAGAGUACUGCAGGGGAGGCUGGAAUUCCUGGUGUAGCGGUGGAAUGCGCAGAUAUCAGGAGGAACACCGGUGGCGAAGGCGGGUCUCUGGGCAGUAACUGACGCUGAGAAGCGAAAGCGUGGGGAGCGAACAGG
rnacentral:rRNA from 1 species